GUGUUGACAGAGUUGCAUCUUUUCUUCAGAUCCUCAAGGGAGAUGAGGAAUAUGGCUGAGAAGAUGCGGCGCGACAAGCUAAAUAACUACAUCAAUGAGCUGGCCGGCAUUGUCCCACUCGGCUCUGGCGGCAGCAAGCGACUGGACAAGACCUCCACCCUAAGACUGGCUGCAAACUACAUCCGAAUGCAUAAAAUUCUAGCAAAGGAAGAUGAUGAAGCUGAGAAGGUACCACCGGUGUUGGGAGGCAAUAUUGCUCAUAACUUAGCAGAGGCUGUUGGUGGCUUUCUACUUGUGGUGACUUCAACUGGUCGGGUUGUCUACGUCACAGAGGCUGUUGACCAGUUUUUUGGCCAUAGUCAGGUUGACUUGCUUGGUCACAGCAUUUACAAUGUUAUACAUCCAGAUGACCAUGAAAUAUUUCAGCAGCAGCUAAUACCCAGAGGCAACAACAGGGUGUCUUUUUUCUGCCGUAUGAUGGAAAAGGCUCUCACACGAAAUGAUCCGGGACGAUAUGAAAUUAUCCACAUUGUUGGGCAAUUGAAGCCCAUUCCUGCUUCUGCAAAUGUUGUUCCUUGCUCUCCAGCCACAUCAGUUCUUUCUCCAGAUGGAAGAUCAAACAGUGAUACUGAGAACUACGAGUCAGAUGGAGAUGUGGAUAACCAAACCAUGAAAGCUGCCAUCAACCGGAUUGGAACUCACAUACUUGUCAGCUUUGUAAGGGUGGUGAAGGAUCGUCCCAUCACAGAGCUGUCCUUAGUAGAGUCAACACAAGAUGAAUACAUUACUCGUCAUGGUCUGGGAGGAAGUAUCAUGUACACUGAUCACAGAAUAUCAUUCGUCACUGGAUUAAUGCCAGGAGAAGUAGUCGGAACUUCAGCCUUUUCAUACAUGCAUCCUGAGGACCGAGUAUGGUCAAUUGUAGCACAAAAGCUGAUGUUCACCAGUACUGAAGGACAAGGGAUAGUAUCCUACAGGCUACAGUGUCGUGAUGGAAGUUUUGUCACCCUAAGAAGCAGAGGAUACCUGGAAGUAAAUAAGCAGACUGGACAAGUGGAGUCUUUUGUCUGUAUCAACACUGUUGUAAGUUUAAAGGAAUCUGAGGAUGAAAUAAAAAAUCAGAGACGAAAGCUCCUUCCUGUGAUCAGCUCCUCUGAUUGUGAAGACCAUUUGAAGAACAUCUCUUCCACUCUUCCACCAGAACUCAUCAAAGAUGUGUUGCCACUGCUAACUCCAGAAGCACUGCAGCAAAUGGCUGCCACAUUUGAAAUGAGUGAAUUGAAAAGUGAUAAAAUUGUAGAAUUAUCAGAUAUCAGUCCAGAACAGAGUCAUGAAGCUCCAGUAGAAGUGAUGAAAAAUCGAGCAGUGGAAAAUGAGGAUAACCCUUAUCAAAGCAAACCUAAAAAAGUAUGCAACAUUGAAAAAUCUGAGACAUCCUCUGUUGAGUUUACUAAAAAUAUACCUGGGGCAAAUGAAACAACAAGCAAGUCACCAGACAGUAACCUUUGGUACAAUGAUUCUGAUAAAUUGACUUCGUUGGAUGACUUCAAAACUGAUGUAACUAAAAGCUUCAGUUUUGAGAGGGAACAAUUCAAACAAGAUCAAGCACAGUCCAGUAAGCUCAGUCCAGCUGCUUCUCUUCAAGUGCAAAUAUGUCCAGCUUCUCCACAGUAUGGCAGUAAAACCUGUUAUCAGUCUUCUGUAAAUCAGUGUGAUGGUCUCACUGACCAAAAAUUAACUAAAGGCAUUAGUAACUAUCUGCCAAAUAAGGACACUCAUUCCCCAGCUGGAGACCAUAGUCCUUUGGGAAAGGAAAGUGAAUUCAGUCCAAGAGUCGGUAAUUAUUCUAUUGAUGGCAGCGUCUCCUUAGCUGGAAACCAAAAGAAUGAAGAUUGUUCAUCUAAACCUCCUGAGCAGAUGAAUGUUAAUGUAGGAAUUUCUAAACCAGAGUAUAGUCCAGUCUCGGUAAAGGAGAGCAUAGAUAACAGAAUUUCAUACCGACAAGGAGAACCUCAGAACAAACCUGGUGGCAUGUCCUCUCCUGGGUGCACUUUUGUCAGAAAUGAAAGAACUGUGUCUCCCAGUAGUGCUUAUCCAUUACACUCCAUCAGUGACGGGCUCUUGACUGACAACCCUCAAGAUAGUGGAAUAAGUCUAGUUUCUUAUGCAAGCCAGCAGGAGUGGGGGAAUGGAAGCAGUGUCAGUGAUGUAGCAUUGUCACCUAAAUGUAUGAACACUGCAGCACCACAUGGGCAACACAACUUUCACCAACUGGACUUUGAUACCUCUGUAAACCCUAUGAACCAAUCAGGCACAACCUGUCAGAGAAAUAGCCAUCCACAAUUUUCUCCAGGCUCCAUGUUGGAAACUAAGGAUGAUUAUCAUCAAGUGCACCAGCAGCUUCAACACCAAAGAUAUAAUCAGCAGCAGUUACAGCAGCAGCAACAACUAAAGCAACAUCAACAACUACAGUUACAACAGCAAUGCCAGCAACAACAACAACAACAACAACUGCAACAACAACAACAACAACAACAACAACAUUUCCAUUACCAGCCUGCCAUGUCUACAGCCAAUGUUAGACAUAACUUCAAUUUUUCAUCAACCCCAAAGUUUGAUGUAAAAGUACAAGGACACCCUAAUAAGUCAUUACCACAAAAUUAUGGUUCAGUGACAAAUUGGCAAUCAAGAACUGAUGUUAUUCCAUGUCAUCCCUCAAAUACAUCAGGAGAAAACCCAGAUGUGUUCACCUCAACAAAUCUGUUGCCUCACAUGGAGAGUGAGGGUGGCCAUGCUUCACAAUGUGAUGCCAGUCUCCACCCCAACACUGGCAGCCCAUGCUCAAUGACAUUUGAAAUUUGGCGCACGCGGCAAUCCCAGAUACGGCACGGGGCACUGUUCUGGCUCAGCCGUAGUGAAGGGGUUAAAAGGAAUACAAACAAUAACUUGGUAAAUUCCUAUGACACAUGAAACCUUGCCAAACAAAUUAUACAUGAUGCAAAAGAUCGUUCAAGAUGAACACAUGGACUCCAAGAAUUGCCUACUAUACCAGAGUAUGAGAGCAUGGGCCAUCCUACCUGUUACCCCUUCGGAGAAACUCAACAGAACUGCAGGAGAGGAUCCCACCGCUGCCACCACUUUAAUGAUGAGAUUUUCUACUCUCUUUUCUAUUACUCUCUCGGUCCCACACGUCCUCUGCGUGUAUUGAAACACACGAGAAAUUAAUCAGGACAAGGAGAGGGUACUCGCCGGCUACCUGGGAUUGAACCCGCGACCAGCGUGACGGGAGAGCCACUCCUUACCGAGUCGGCCAAAGAGGUACCCCACUGGCUAAGUGGGUUAUGGGAGGCUCGUUCAUCAGGCAUAGUCGCCGCACCACACACAGUCCCAACACCUAUUUCUUCCUCUCAUAUGUCAACUCUUUACUACUUCUAAAUGAAUUGAGUUAAUGAAUCAAAAAUCUAAUAAGGCUGUAAACAUGUUGUGCUGAGACUCAUUUUUUUAGGUUAAUAUCAAUGAUUUUGUUUAAAUACCACAACAGUUGACAACCUUGUUUUCCGUUGUUGUCAGUGAGCUGACCCAAGGUCAGUUCCUUCAAGGUCGCCCUCCAGGAUGGAAGCUGCCCGUGCUGUCACUCUACCCAUUGCCACUCACACUCGUGAGAGAGAGAGAGAGAGAGAGAGAGAGAGAGAGAGAGAGAGAGAGAGAGAGAGAGCGUGGAAGGCUGUACUUUGCACCUAGGUUCUUAUACAAUAAUUGAAGACAGAUGUGACAGCAUGGGGGACAAGGACCUACUAAAAGCAGCCAACAUCAAUACGAUCUGGACCCUUAAUACCUCCAUGAUCUGGACAAUAUGGUUUCACUAUAGCUCAGUUUCAUAAUGCUGCUAACAGGUCAACCAAGGUUGGGAUGAGGAGAGCUCAGGAGGACAGAGGCAGGUUAGGAAAACAAGGGCAGGAGACAAAGGAAGACCUCUUUAUUCAUGAUGGGACAUUUGAAUAAUAUUUUAUUUUCUAAUGUAAAUUUCGCCUUAUAACCAAUUAAACUUACAACCGGCAUGUUGAUUCUGAACACCAUCAUAACUCGAGGACGACAUUUUUAUAUAUAUACUUACCAACAAACAGAGACAAAAAAAUAUAUAUAAUACUUUCUUUUUUUCAAAGACUCCCAAUAUCUUCAUGAGACAGUAGUGUUUGAUUUGUUUUGCCUGUUACUAUCAAGAGAGAUUUUCAAUUGCAUACCUCUUCUCUGUAACCAUUGUAGCAUAAUAAUUUUGAACAUUACAAGUAAUCUGUAAUAAACAGUCCACAAAUAAGCUUGGUACUGUUCACUGUAAUCAUGCUUUGUAUAGCUUUUUUAUGUAUGGCUGUAAUCUUCUGUCUUUUCUCAUUUGUUUUCAUGGCUAAUUUAACACAGGAAAACUUUUUGAAAUACAAGUUGCCUUUUAAAGGUAUUCUUUUGAAAACAAGAAAAUCCUAGACUAUCCCUUGUAUACAAAAGCAAAUUUCAUAACAUAAUGUGAAUAGAUUACAGUAUAGUAAACCCUUAUUUUAACGAACCAGUUAGGUGAAAGAAGUGAGUUUAUAUCCAAAAAUCUGUUAUAUCAGAGAGAUUCGAACUUUUUGCAUAGCUAUAAUGAACUUUGUUUGUCAUGGGAGUUAAAAGUUCACUUUUCCGACAAUAUCCAUAUACAUGUACAUAUGUAGUAUCUCAAAGUUUGUUUGUUAUUUUAAAUGAAAGGUGAGGCACAAAAGAUUGAGACUGGAGCUGUUUCCAGUUGAGGUCUGUAAAAGCAAGGAUUAACUGUAAUAUUUGAUCAAUUCCAUGGAGAAAAAGCUUUUAAAAACUUUGAUUAUGACACAUACAUAGACGUUCCAGAAAGCCAGGCAUACAAAGCAAAUUAAAUCAGUUAUAAAGGAAGAGAUUCCAAAAUGUUUGAGGAAAUUAAUUUAGCAGGUGACUCAUCUUGAAAUGCUCAACAUAUUUUAUACUGCUUAAUGUUCUAAUCUUUAUGAUAAAUUUUCCACUUGAGUGUAAGGUUGCACACUUAUAGUAGACAAAAGAAAAUAUCAUACAAGAAAACACCAUCCAUAUACUAGUACACACCGUACUUAGAUAAUUCAACUUUCCACCUAGAUUUCAUGACACACUACAAUGUUGGGCACAGAGAGAGAGAGAGAGAGAGAGAGAGAGAGAGAGAGAGAGACUGCUACGAUUUUUGUCUCAUCUAGUUUAUCGACUUCGGUUUUAUACUUUAUUUUUCAAGAAAGUGACUCUUACAGUCUAGCUAAUGUAAUUGCAUUUUCCUGUUUCAAAUGAAAAUUAGCUCCUAUUGUCAGAUGCAUAGUCUAAUUUUUCAACAUCAGAAAACCUAACCCUACUUCAUAGUUAUAAUUACAUAUGUUUUUCUUAACAAUUUGACAAAUGAUAUUCUUAAUUCUGUUUAAUUCAUAGGCUACACUUGCUUUGUUACUGUUAAUCUGCAUAUUUGGUAUGCCAACAACAUAAUAUACAAAACUUAAAUAAUGCAUAUAAUUUCUAGUACACAGUGCAAGGCACCAGACAAAUAAUUAGUACUAAAGCAAUGUGCAGCAAUUUAAGACUCCCAGCUUUACCUUUCAAUCUAGCACCAGAAAAGUUGUUAGCAGUAUGUUGAAGAGUGGACAUAACUAUCCAUCUCUCUCUCUCUCUCUCUCUCUCUCUCUCUCUCUCUCUCUCUCUCUCUCUCUCUCUCUCUCUCUCUCUCUCUCUCCUAUAUUACUAAAUGGAAGAUCUCCAACAUUUCAUACAGAUCUACAAGACUUGUAGGCUACCAGUAAUUUGCAAACCCCUUCCUAUCAUCAUCUCUAUUUGUUGAACAUUUUCUAUGCUUACACAUCUUUGAAAAAGAAAAAAAGAAAAAGGUGUCUUAAUGCAUGACAAAUGUCUUCAUAAAGAGAAUGUGACAUCAGAAGAAGGCAAAAUAUUGCAUAAUUAUGCAUUAUAUUGCCUACUUUUGAUGUCACUAAGAUAAUUUUCAUUAAGACAGUAAUCAUCUAAAUUCUAAGUGAUAUCAAAAGCAGGCAAAAUAUUUCAUAUUUAUGCAUUAUAUUGUGUACUUUUGUUGUCACAUAGAUCCUUUUCAUGAAGACAGCAAUCAUCUCAGUGACAUCAAAAGCAAGCAAAACAUUGCAUAAUUAUUCAUUAUUUUGCCUGUUUUUGAUGUCACUUAGAUCAUUUAUAUACAUGAUGAUAGUUAUCAUGCAUUACGAUACUUUUUGAAACACUUUUUUUUUUCUUUUUGAGGAUUGGUAAAUACCAGUGGUGGGCACCGCUAACCAAAAAGUUAGCUUCGCUAACUAAAAUGUUAGCUUCGCUUACGCUAAACCGCUACACUGGUAAAGAAAUUAGUGGAAGCUAACGCUAACUGCUAACUUUUUUUCAAAGAUUUGGAAUUGGAAGAUGCGCAUUACCCUAAAAUAACAAAAAGUUUCCCUGAUAAUUGUCAAAUUACCCUACUUUAAGGUGUAAUUUACCACAAAAAGUGGAAGCACUGGAGUUAUUGCGCCAUGUUGCUCAACUGGUGCUGUGUCUGUCCACAAUGGACAAAAACAAACUUGUAUGAAAUUUUUAGUGGACUUAAGUUAGCGGAGGAGGAACUUCAUUUAGCGGAAGCUAUUUGGUCCGCUAGCUGUUUCCAAAGUUAGCGAAAACGCUAAACAGCCAACGAAAAAGUUAGCUUCGCUAAUUAGCGGUUAGCGGAUUAGUGAAACCGUGCCCACCACUAGUAAAUACAGAGUAUGUCCAACAAAGAGAUGACAAUAGGAAUGAGGUUUGAAAUUCACUAUUACAAAUCAUGUGGAUCUAUAUGGAACGUAGACCUUCCAUUAAGUAAUACAGGAGAUGUAUAUUGAUUCCUUAAUUCCUUUUCUAACUAAAUUUUCGACGUUUCAGUCAGUUAAAUCAGAUGAAAAAUGCAUUAGAAAAAUAAUACAUAAGAAUGUCAAAAUGGUCACAUUGAAAUCUGAGAAAAUGCAGUCCCAUCCCCAGACAUGACCAAACACUGAAGUAUUAUUCUUACAACUCAGGCUAAGUAGCAUGAAGCAAGAUUUGUAAAAUCUGUGUCAUGAUGCAUCCUAGCAAUGAAAAUUGUACAGUACUCAGUACAGUAGUAUAGGGAAGACCAUGACAUUGAGUGAAUAAAGGUUAAAGUGGUACGAGGCAAAAAGGUUCUGGAGUCUGCCAAUUUUGUAUGCAUACAAUGAAGGCAUCAGUGAGCUGACCAGGAGGCUAAAUGAAUGUUAACAAGUGGAAAAUUGUCAAUUAAACAGAUUUGUUCAGUAAAUGAGCCUGAUAAUAGGAUUAUUUUUUGGUUAGGCAACUGAUAUGUACAUGCCAAGUGUCUAAUUACCAUAUUGUUUGGAGAAUAGAUAUAUGCAAGAAAAAAACAUGCUGGAUAUGGUUGCACACGUUUCUUUAGCAUCCUUUUUACUGAAAUACUGUUGACAUGUUCCUCUAAUUUACUUUCCUUACUGUCAUCUUAAAUAUUUUAAGCAUUCUAUAAAUAAAUAUCUACUUAUAAUACAGGCAAAAAUUUUAUUACAUCUUUUGGAGAAGGAAAUGCUACAAAGCAUAACUUCAUUUAUUCAUUUAACAUUAAUAAUUCUUUUUCCUCAGUAAAAACAUCGGUUUACAGUUGAAGAUAAUCUUUUGUCAUUGAAUAUUAAGAUUUAAUCUACCACAUUUAUCCGCAUAUUAGAAAAAAAAUCCCUUCACCUUUCACCCAACUUGCUUACACUUUUAUUUUCUUACUUUGCUUGCAAAAAGUGACAGCUAAAUGUAAUGCAUUAUAACAGAUAACAGAUUAUCUUACAUUAUUAUGAUUCUUUUUGGGUUCUUAACAGACAAUGUCUUCUGUUAGCUUCAUGCAUGUUACUAGUAUUUUCUUAUUUUUGUGUUCUAUUUGCACCUCACCUGCUGGAUCUUACAUAAUAACCAAGAAGCAUGCCUGUAGUUGCAGAAUCUUUCAACUGUCACUGGUUGCAACUGCAGCAGAAGCACACAUUCAUUCAUUCAUUUCAAUCAUCUUUGACGCCUGCUCCUAUAGUCUGUUCAGAGCAUGAAGUCGGAUCAAGGUGUGGCAGAUUCUUGAAUUCCCAUGAGUGCGGCGCUGCCAGUUCGACCGCCAAUUAUCAGAUUGGCACCGUCUCCCUACCUACCCACCCACAACCCACCUGUUUAUCUCUCUCUCUCCCUCUCGACCCGGGGGGAGGGACCUAAGGGGACACGCCGACCACCACCACCAUCACCACCACCACCACCAAUACAUGGCAACAUGGGAAAAAAUCGCUGCCACAUGUCAUAGAAUUUAUACAAAUCGUUGUUAUAAUCCUAAACAUCGACACUCAUUGUACUAUGUAGCUUCCUGUACUAUAUACAAAAUAUAUAAAAUAUCACUUUCAAAUAGCACAUGGAUGGGAAAUAAGAGAAAGACACAUGUACGAAGAUUGAUUUGGCAGCAUGGCUAGAGGUAAACGACGAUACCAGAUCCACCCUGAACCGACUUCAUGCUCUGAACAGACUAUAGGAGCUCCCACCAGGGGAUGGCCACGGCAGAAGAGUUUCCAUCUCUCUCUAUCCAGACACUCCCUCCUUGCCUGCUCAAAGUUUCUCAAGGAUCUUUCACCCCUCUCCCUGACAUACUCCUGCACCUUAUCUCUUCAUUUUGCUGGAGGUCGUCUUAUAACAUUCCCUCCCUCUAUUUCACUCACAUACACCAUCCUGGUCAUCUUACUCUCCUCCAUUCGCUCCAUGUGGUCGCUUCACUUCUUCCACCACUCCACACUUCUUCCCUUCACCCACAUGACAAUUCCAAAAUGCUCAUACACACUUUCAUUACUCAUUCCAUCCAUUCUACUCACACCACAUGCAUUCAUCAAAUAACUCAUUUCCACUACCUGCACUCUAGACCUUUGACUUUCAUUCCAGGCCCAUGUUUCACUUGCAUAUGUGAGGGUUGGUACAAUUACUGUAUUUCUCAAAUCCCUCUUUACCUCCAUACUCACACUUCUGCCAUUCAUGAUUCGUCCCAAAGACCCUACCACCCUUCUUCCUUGCAAUGCCCUUUCUCUUGUCUCUCCCUCCGUACCACCAUGCUUACACAUGACUGAUCCAAGGUACUUAAACUCAUUAACCUCCUCCAUUUCUUCACCAUUCAAAAUUAUUUUGCAUUCUUUUUCACAUUCAAUUCCCACUCUAUAUGGGCAUACAAAAUCCACAACCUCACUUCUACUCUACUCACAAACCAUCGCUUUACUUUUGUUGACAUUUACUAUCAGCUUUCUCCUUUUACAUACACUAUCAAAAACACUGACCAAAUUUUGUAAGUCACUUUCAUUUUCUGCAAUGAGCACUGUGUCAUCAGCAAAUAAGAUUGAAUUCAGCACCCACAUCCUUCCCUCAGUGUACAUUUCUACUCCAACUUCCCCAACUUUGCCCUUCAUUUCUCUCACAACACCAUCCAUAUAAAUAUUGAACAACUAUGGUGACAUGACACACCCCUGCCUCAAGCCCACUUUUAUCUCAAAAUGUUCACUUGUUUCUCCACUAAUUUUGACACAUGCAGAUGCAUCCUCAUAGAAAGACUUUUUGUAUGAAGCAGUUUUCCUCCCACACCAUAUAUCUUUAAAACGUCCCACAAAGCCAGCCAAUCGACUCUGUCAUAAGCUUUUUCUAGGUCCAUGAAGGCAGUGUAUAUUUUUUUCCUUUUGUUAAUAUUUUUUCUACAACCAUCCUGAAGGAAAAUAUCUGAUCCACGCAUCCCCUUCCCUUCCUGAAGCCUCCUUGUUCUUCAAUGAUUUUUUCCUCUGUAAGUCUUUGCAUCCUUUCUAUUAUGACUUUUCCAAAUACAUUUCUGGGUAUACUCAGCAGACUUAUACCUCUAUAGCUCCCACACUCCCCUCUCCUGCCCUUCCCCUUGUAAACUAGGACAGUGAUGGCUUUUGCCCAGUCUGCUGGUACCCCCCCCCACACCCUCCCACGCCACUUCACAUAUCUUGACCAACCAUUUAGUAACUACAUCUCCUCCACACUUCAACAUUUCUGUUGUAAUUCCAUCAAUUUCUGCUGCCUUUCCAUUUUUAUUUUUUUUAUUGCUUGAUUUACUUCUUCAUAUGUAUGUACGUACGUACUUUCUUCUUUAUAUACUCCUCCACUACCUCCAUUCAAAAUUACUGCUGUUACAACUGCUGGACCUCCAUCUUUAAUAUUUAUUAAGUUUUUGAAAUAUUCUCUCCAUCUCUCUUUCACAGCUUCCCCAUCUUUCAACAUCUUUCCAUUCUCAUCCAUAACUUCAUUUAUUUUACUUGGGGAGAUAUUUUCUGCAUUUCUUUUAUUCUUUACUUCUCUCCAAUAUGAUUUUCUAUUUCCUUUAUUUUUUUCACUUAGUUUUUUUUUCAGUCUUCAUCAACUCUCUUCUUACUUUCUUUUAUUGCUUGUUUUAAUUUCAUUUUGCAUUCUCUAUAUUUUUUUUCCUUUCCCUUUUUACUUGCUCAGCCACAUUUCUUUCUUGAGUUUUCUUAAAAAGUUCCCUCUUCUCUUUUGCUAUCCUCCUUAUCUCUCCUGCCCAUCAUGAAUUUCCUUUUCUUUUUCCAUCCCUCACCACUUUCAUCCCAAACACUAUUUUUGUUGUAGUUAACACUACAUCUUUAAAUGUUCCAAAAACUUCAAUAUCUGUACUAUGUUUUACACUUUCCCAUUUUUCACUUAAGGCCUCUACCAUUUCACGUUUAUACUCAUCUUUUAUUUAUUUUUCCUGUAACUUUUCUAUCUUCAAUAUUUCCUUUUUUACUUCACCCUUCUUUUCAAACACCUACUUUUCCUUCAGCCUUAAUUUUGUCAGCACUGCAAGAUGGUCAGAGCACACACGUAAACACAAAAUAUAAAUGCCCAUCAAUUUCUGUAUGAUAAAUGAGCUGUACAUUUGAACUGAUUUUAAUGGAAUUGAUGUAUCAGAUAUACAUAUGUAUAGUUAAAAUGAUUUCCAUAUAGUUAGAAUUUGUAUAGUUCUCUCUCUCUCUCUCUCUCUCUCUCUCUCUCUCUCUCUCUCUCUCUCUCUCUCUCUCUCUCUCUCUCUCUCUCUCUCUCUCCGUAUUCAAUAUGUCCUUUAACGUAUUCAAUAUGUCCUUUUACCGUAUUCAAUAUGUCCUUGCGACAAGGCAUCGUCCCUUCGGAUUGGAAAAAGGCUAACGUGACACCGAUUUUUAAGAAAGGAGACAAAAAAAUACCAGGUAACUACCAACCCAUUAGUCUAACUUCAAUUGUAGGUGAGCUACUCGAGAGCAUAAUUAGAGACAAAAUUGUGAGUUACCUCGAAAGCCACUCAUUAAUUGGGGAUUCACAAUAUGGCUUCCGUAACAAAAGAUCCUGCCUGUCAAACCUACUAACCUUUUAUAACGAUCUCUUCUCAGUUUAUGACGUAACCAAAUCAUUGGACGUAGUCUAUCUUGAUUUCCAGAAAGCGUUUGAUAAAGUCCCACAUCAUAAAUUACUUUAUAAAUUAAAGCAAAUAGGCAUUGACGGUCAAGUAAACCAAUGGAUCGCGAAUUGGGUGAGCAACAGACAACAAAGAGUUGUGAUUGACGGAUUUAACUCAGAGUGGGCGCCGGUCACUAGUGGCGUUCCUCAGGGCUCGGUUCUUGGCCCAGUGCUCUUCAGUAUUUACAUCAACGAUGUGGAUGUUGGACUCAAUAAUCGCAUUAGUAAAUGUGCAGACGACACAAAGAUUGGUAACUCGGUUCUCACUGACGAAGACGGGCAAAGCCUCCAAGAGGAUUUGCACAAAAUUUCAGCUUGGUCGGAUAAAUGGGAGAUGCCCUUUAACGUAGACAAGUGCCAGGUCCUUCAAGUUGGAACAAAAAAUAAAAAGUUCGAUUACGAAAUGCGCGGCGUUAAACUCACAAGCGUUCAAUGCGUUAAGGACCUGGGGGUCAAAAUCGCGUCAAACCUCAAAUUCUCACAUCAAUGCAUCGAUGCAGCAAAUAAAGCGAACAGAAUGUUGAGCUUCAUUAAAAGAAACUUUUUAUUCAAGAAUAAAGAUGUAAUACUUCCGCUUUACAAUAGUUUAGUCAGACCCCACUUGGAAUAUGCGGUACAGUUAUGGUCUCCUCACCAUGCAAAGGACAUUGCUAAACUAGAAGGUGUUCAGCGUCGAUGAACAAAUAUGAUCCCUUCCUUGCGCAACAAAUCCUACGAAGAAAGGCUUUCCACCCUUAAUAUGUUCUCUCUUGAGAAACGUCGCCUCUGAGGAAAACUGAUCGAAUGUUUUAAAAUACUUAAUGGUUUCACGAAUGUAGACAGAACAAAAUUGUUUAUGAUCGAUGACACUUUGCGAGCGAGGAAAAAUGGCAUAAAACUCAAAUGUAGACAAGUAAAUUCAGACUGCACCAAAUUUUUCUACACCAACGUUGUAGUGCGAGAAUGGAAUAAGCUCCCACCAUCAGUGGUCCAGUGUAACACGAUUGACUCCUUCAAAAACAAGCUCGACCGUCACUUCCUUGAACUUCAUAUUAACUAGAGUAGAAAAGCAACGUUUUGGAGCCAUCUGACUAAUGUAAAAUCACUUAGGUUUAAGGACAGACCACCUAGUCUGGACCAUGGGGUGUGUGUGUUCUGACUUUCUAUGUAAUAUCUAUGUAAUCUCUCUCUCUCUCUCUCUCUCUCUCUCUCUCUCUCUCUCUCUCUCUCUCUCUCUCUCUCUCUCUCUCUCUCUCUCUCAUAGAGCCUAUGUGUUCCUUAUUUCUGUCUGCUUAUAAGGGUUACUAAGCUUUUCUUCUAUUGACAUUUUUUUUAACACUCAUACUUGAAUUGUACACAAGUUUGUGAAAAUAGAGUUGAAAAUUAUGUGAUCAUAAUGAUUAAUUUUAGUGUUCUUUUCCUUUUUUUUCAUGUUGGUCUAUGGUGAGUGUACUUUAAAUGUAUAAGUUACACAUAUAAUGUUUGUAUCCUGUAAAUAUUUAUAUUUUUAGGAGAACUUACAUAGAAAUUUUCAGAGUCCAUCAACAUAGGUGAUUUGUGAAUAUAAUCACAGAUGUCCUCACUUUUACUCCUCCAGUUUGUCAUCUUAUUCAUUGCCUAAUUAUCACAGAGACCAUAGUGGACUGUUUCAAUAUCGUAAGGAUUGAUGUCAAACACGUUAUUUCAUCACAUGUAAGUUUCAUGUAGUAAGACUUGCUCAAACAAAAACAAAACGGCAGAGGCAUCAUGUGUAAUGAGGUAAUUUGCUCAAAAUGAACAAAAAUAUAUAUUGUGUUAUAAACAAACUG